rnacentral:misc_RNA from 1 species
CAGAGUUGCAAAACUCCCAAACCCAUUGUGAACAUACCUCUGUUGCUUCAGCGGAUGCGCCCCGGGCGCGCCCUCACAGGCGUGCCCCGGACCAAGGCGCCCGCCGGGGAACCGAAACUCUUGUUUUCUUAGAGAAUCUCUGAGUGUGAUUAUAAAUCAAAUCA